GCUUUGUUGGAGGAAAUGUGUCACUGGGGGUAGGCUUUGAGGUUUCAGAAGCUCAAGUCAGUCUCAGUGGUUUACUCUCUUUCCCUGCUGCCUGCCAAUCC
ensembl:miRNA Gm25374 predicted gene, 25374